UACGAAGGGGGCUAGCGUUGCUCGGAAUCACUGGGCGUAAAGGGUGCGUAGGCGGGUCUUUUAAGUCAGGGGUGAAAUCCUGGAGCUCAACUCCAGAACUGCCUUUGAUACUGAGGAUCUUGAGUUCGGGAGAGGUGAGUGGAACUGCGAGUGUAGAGGUGAAAUUCGUAGAUAUUCGCAAGAACACCAGUGGCGAAGGCGGCUCACUGGCCCGGUUACUGACGCUGAGGCACGAAAGCGUGGGGAGCAAACAGG
rnacentral:rRNA from 1 species